rnacentral:rRNA from 1 species
AUUGAACGCUGGCGGCAUGCCUUACACAUGCAAGUCGAACGGCAGCACGGGAGCUUGCUCCUGGUGGCGAGUGGCGAACGGGUGAGUAAUACAUCGGAACGUACCCUGAAGUGGGGGAUAACGUAGCGAAAGUUACGCUAAUACCGCAUAUUCUGUGAGCAGGAAAGAGGGGGAUCGCAAGACCUCUUGCUUUAGGAGCGGCCGAUGUCGGAUUAGCUAGUUGGUGAGGUAAAGGCUCACCAAGGCGACGAUCCGUAGCGGGUCUGAGAGGAUGAUCCGCCACACUGGGACUGAGACACGGCCCAGACUCCUACGGGAGGCAGCAGUGGGGAAUUUUGGACAAUGGGCGCAAGCCUGAUCCAGCCAUGCCGCGUGAGUGAAGAAGGCCUUGGUGUAAG